AAGGCCUUGGGCACACUAUGAGAGUACAAGGUGGUGGGUCGCUGCCUGCCCACCCCCAAAUGCCACACACCGCCCCUCUACCGCAUGGGAAUCUUUGCGCCUAAUCAUGUCGUCGCCGAGUCCCGCUUCUGGUACUUCGUAUCUCAGUUAAAGAAGAUGAAGAAGUUUUCAGGGGAGAUUGUCUACUGUGGGCCGGUGUUUGAGAAGUUCCCCUGGGGGUGAAGAACUUCGGCAUCUGGCUGCACUAUGACUCCCGGAGCGGCAUCCACAACAUGUACUGAGAAUACUGGGACCUGAACACCGCGGGCGCUGUCACCCAGUGCUACCGAGACAUGGGCGCCCGGCACCGCGCCUGGACCCAUUCCAUCCAGAUCACGAAGGUGGAGGCGAUCGCAGCCAGCAAGUGCCCGCGGCCGGCCGUCAAGCAGUUCCACGACUCCAAGAUCAAGUUUCCGCUACCCCACCGGGUCCUGCGCUGUCAGCACAAGCCACACUUCACCACCCGGAGACCCAACACCUUCUUCUAG
rnacentral:lncRNA from 1 species